rnacentral:rRNA from 1 species
UACGAAGGGGGCUAGCGUUGUUCGGAAUUACUGGGCGUAAAGGGCGCGCAGGCGGUCUUCCAAGUCGGAUGUGAAAGCCCCGGGCUCAACCUGGGAACUGCAUUCGAGACUGGGGGGACUUGAGUUCGGGAGAGGAGAGCGGAAUUCCCAGUGUAGAGGUGAAAUUCGUAGAUAUUGGGAAGAACACCGGUGGCGAAGGCGGCUCUCUGGACCGAUACUGACGCUGAGGCGCGAAAAGCGUGGGGAGCAAACAGG